AUAUCAAUAAGCGGAGGAAAAGAAACCAACAGGGAUUGCCUCAGUAACGGCGAGUGAAGCGGCAACAGCUCAAAUUUGAAAUCUGGAGCCUUCGGCUUCCGAGUUGUAAUUUGAAGAGGAUGUUUCGGUGCGACCUGGGCCUAAGUUCCUUGGAACAGGACGUCAUGGAGGGUGAGAAUCCCGUACAUGGCUGCAGGUUUGCUUCUAUGUGAAACUCCUUCGAAGAGUCGAGUUGUUUGGGAAUGCAGCUCAAAAUGGGUGGUAAAUUUCAUCUAAAGCUAAAUAUUGGCGGGAGACCGAUAGCGCACAAGUAGAGUGAUCGAAAGAUGAAAAGCACUUUGAAAAGAGAGUUAAACAGUACGUGAAAUUGUUGAAAGGGAAGCGCUUGCAAUCAGACUCGCCUUCAGUUGAUCAGCCUUCCUUCUGGUUGGUGCACUCUGCUGUUGGCGGGCCAGCAUCAGUUGGGGCGGUGGGACAAAGGCGGCAGGAAUGUGGCUCGCUUCGGUGAGUGUUAUAGCCUGCUGCGUCAUGCCACCAGCCCCGAUUGAGGUCCGCGGUUCGCCUAGGAUGCUGGCUUAAUGGUUGUAAGCGA
rnacentral:rRNA from 1 species